UACGUAGGGUCCGAGCGUUGUCCGGAAUUACUGGGCGUAAAGAGCUCGUAGGUGGUUUGUCGCGUUGUUCGUGAAAACUCACAGCUCAACUGUGGGCGUGCGGGCGAUACGGGCAGACUUGAGUACUGCAGGGGAGACUGGAAUUCCUGGUGUAGCGGUGGAAUGCGCAGAUAUCAGGAGGAACACCGGUGGCGAAGGCGGCAUCCGUGGACCGACACUGACGCUGAGGAGCGAAAGCCAGGGGAGCAAACGGG
rnacentral:rRNA from 1 species